AGGAUAUCCAGGGUCAGUUACCAGGCCAAAGGUCCGUUUCAAUUCAGGAAGCCCCCUAGUGGCUUGCUGGUAGACAGCCACUGAGUUCAGACUUAGAGCUGCAAUGUAAACAUUGCAUUGUUUUACAUUGCAGCACUAAGUGCAAAAGGGACACAGCACCCAGACCACUUCAAUUAGCUGAAGGGGUUUGGGUGCCUACAGUGUGCUAUUUCCUG